UGGGGAAUAUUGCACAAUGGGCGAAAGCCUGAUGCAGCAACGCCGCGUGAGUGAUGAAGGCCUUCGGGUUGUAAAGCUCUGUCUUUUGGGACGAUAAUGACGGUACCAAAGGAGGAAGCCACGGCUAACUACGUGCCAGCAGCCGCGGUAAUACGUAGGUGGCAAGCGUUGUCCGGAUUUACUGGGCGUAAAGGAUGCGUAGGCGGAUUUUUAAGUGAGAUGUGAAAACCCUAAGCUUAACUUGGGGACUGCAUUUCAUACUGGAAAUCUAGAGUGCGGGAGAGGAGAAUGGAAUUCCUAGUGUAGCGGUGAAAUGCGUAGAGAUUAGGAAGAACACCAGUGGCGAAGGCGAUUCUCUGGACCGUAACUGACGCUGAGGCAUGAAAGCGUGGGUAGCAAACAGGAUUAGAUACCCUGGUAGUCCACGCCGUAAACGAUGAGUACUAGGUGUAGGAGGUAUCGACCCCCUUCUGUGCCGCAGUUAACACAAUAAGUACUCCGCCUGGGAAGUACGAUCGCAAGAUUAAAACUUAAAGGAAUUGACGGGGGUCAUAGCUG
rnacentral:rRNA from 1 species